AUUGAACGCUGGCGGCAGGCCUAACACAUGCAAGUCGAACGAGUGGCGGACGGGUGAGUAAUGUCUGGGAAACUGCCUGAUGGAGGGGGAUAACUACUGGAAACGGUAGCUAAUACCGCAUACAAUCAGAUGUGCCCAGAUUGGAUUAGCUAGGUGGGGGGGUAACGUCUCACCAAGGCGACGAUCCCUAGCUGGUCUGAGAGGAUGACCAGCCACACGGGAACUGAGACACGGUCCAGACUCCUACGGGAGGCAGCAGUGGGGCAUAUUGCACAAUGGGCGCAAGCCUGAUGCAGCCAUGCCGCGUGGAUGAAGAGGGCCUUCGGGUUGUAAAGUACUUUCAGCAGGGAGGCGUUACCCGCAGAAGAAGCACCGGCUAACUCCGUGCCAGCAGCCGCGGUAAUUC
rnacentral:rRNA from 1 species